rnacentral:tRNA from 1 species
UGCGCUGUAGCUCAACGGUAGAGCAACCGGCUGUUAACCGGUAGGUUAUAGGUUCGAAUCCUAUCAGCGCAG